AUGGACGGGGGAGGCACGCAUCGCACGCCGGAGGACGUGUUCAGGGAUUUCCGCGCGCGGCGGGCCGGCAUGAUUAAGGCGCUCACCACCGAUGUGGAGAAGUUCUAUCAGCAGUGCGACCCAGAGAAAGAGAAUCUAUGUCUGUAUGGUCUUCCCAAUGAAACAUGGGAAGUGAACUUGCCUGCAGAGGAGGUUCCCCCAGAACUUCCAGAGCCGGCACUGGGAAUUAAUUUUGCUCGGGAUGGGAUGGAUGAGAAAGAUUGGUUGUCACUUGUUGCGGUGCACAGUGAUGCCUGGUUGCUAGCAGUAGCCUUCUACUUUGGAGCAAGAUUCGGGUUUGACAAAGAAUCCAGGAAGCGGCUUUUUAGCAUGAUAAACAACCUCCCCACCAUAUAUGAGGUUGUCACCGGAACUGCGAAGAAGCAGGUCAAAGAAAAACACCCCAAAAGCAGCAGCAAGAUAAAUAAAUCUGGCACUAAGCCAUCUCGCCAGCCAGAACCCAACUCAAGGGGUCCAAAGAUGCCACCACCUCCGAAGGAUGAGGACGACAGUGGAGGCGAGGAAGAAGAGGGAGAAGAACAUGAAAAGGCAUUAUGUGGUGCGUGUAACGAUAACUAUGGACAGGAUGAAUUCUGGAUCUGCUGUGAUGCUUGUGAGACAUGGUUCCACGGUAAGUGUGUGAAGAUCACUCCUGCCAAAGCUGAGCACAUCAAGCACUACAAAUGCCCAAAUUGCAGCAGCAGUAGCAAGAGGGCCAGAGCAUGA
rnacentral:rRNA from 1 species